rnacentral:rRNA from 1 species
GAGGAAUAUUGGUCAAUGGGCGAGAGCCUGAACCAGCCAAGUAGCGUGCAGGAUGACGGCCCUCCGGGUUGUAAACUGCUUUUAGUUGGGAAUAAAAAAAGGGACUUGUCCCUUCUUGUAUGUACCUUCAGAAAAAGGACCGGCUAAUUCCGUGCCAGCAGCCGCGGUAAUACGGAAGGUCCAGGCGUUAUCCGGAUUUAUUGGGUUUAAAGGGAGCGUAGGCGGAUUGUUAAGUCAGCGAUUAAAGGGUGUGGCUCAACCAUGCAUUGCCGUUGAAACUGGCGAUCUUGAGUGCAGACAGGGAUGCCGGAAUUCGUGGUGUAGCGGUGAAAUGCUUAGAUAUCACGAAGAACUCCGAUCGCGAAGGCAGGUGUCCGGGCUGCAACUGACGCUGAGGCUCGAAAGUGUGGGUAUCAAACAGGAUUAGAUACCCUGGUAGUCCACACAGUAAACGAUGUAUACUCGCGGUUUGCGAUAGAUUGUAAGCCGCCAAGCGAAAGCAUUAAGUAUACCACCUGGGGAGUACGCCGGCAACGGUG